CCCAGUCGUAGCAGUAGAGCAGGUUGGCGAGGGUGAAGGUGACGUUGGUCUCGCCCAUGGUGAGUCCCGGGCAGAUCCGGCGGCCGGCCCCGAACGGUAUGAGCUCGAAGUGCGAGCCGUAGUAGUCGACGUCGCUCCCCACGAAGCGGUCCGGGUUGAACUCGUCGGGCGCCGGCCAGCUCGCCGGGUCCCUGCCGAUGGCCCAGGCGUUGACGAAGACGCGCGUGUUGGCCGGCACGUCGUAGCCGCAGAUGGUGGUGUCCCGCAUCGUCUCCCGGGGCACCAGCAGCGUCGCCGGCGGGUGCAGCCGCAGCGUCUCCUUGACCACCAUCUUCAGGUACGGGAUCUUGGCGGCGUCUUC
rnacentral:lncRNA from 1 species